rnacentral:rRNA from 1 species
CAGCCGCCGCGGGAAAACGAAGGGUGCAAGCGUUAAUCGGAAUUACUGGGCGUAAAGGGCGCGUAGGCGGUUUUGACAGUCAGAUGUGAAAUUCCUGGGCUUAACCUGGGGGCUGCAUUUGAGACGUCAAGACUAGAGUGUGAGAGAGGGUUGUGGAAUUCCCAGUGUAGAGGUGAAAUUCGUAGAUAUUGGGAAGAACACCGGUUGCGAAGGCGGCAACCUGGCUCAUUACUGACGCUGAGGCGCGAAAGCGUGGGGAGCAAACAGGAUUAGAUACCCCCGUAGUCCCUGUCUCUUAUAU